CGCUGUCCGCGUGACUGGCGCAGGGAGAUGGAUCACCAUCGGGGAGCGCGGACCAACCCGACCGCCGCGCGCCUGGGCAAUUCCU
rfam:Rhizobium sp. PDO1-076 strain PDO-076 ctg11, whole genome shotgun sequence.